GCAUCACCCACUUCUCUAACUGGUGUGACUGUCUUAGUGACCCUGUAGUAAGUUCCCACUUCACUCAACAAGUCAUCCUCACCAAAUUAAAGUCAGAGCUGUCACCUCCUAAAGUUAUGGCUAAAGCCUUUGGGAGGACAGUUUGAUCCACAGAGGCAAGUGAAGAAUCAGAUCUAAUUCUUUCUGCAGUGGAGAUGGAGCCAUAAAGGAAAUCAACCCUGAAUAUUCACUGGAAGGACUGAUGCUGGA